AAUGGGCGCAAGCCUGAUCCAGCAAUGCCGCGUGUGUGAAGAAGGCCUGCGGGUUGUAAAGCACUUUCAGUGGGGAAGAACGGGCGAGGGUUAAUACCCCUAGCCACUGACGUUACCCACAGAAGAAGCACCGGCUAACUCCGUGCCAGCAGCCGCGGUAAUACGGAGGGUGCAAGCGUUAAUCGGAAUCACUGGGCGUAAAGCGCACGUAGGCGGCACGUUAAGUCAGAUGUGAAACCCCUGGGCUCAACCUGGGAAUGGCAUUUGAUACUGGCGCGCUCGAGUCUGAGAGAGGGAGGUGGAAUUCCAGGUGUAGCGGUGAAAUGCGUAGAUAUCUGGAGGAACACCGGUGGCGAAGGCGGCCUCCUGGCUCAUGACUGACGCUGAGGUGCGAAAGCGUGGGGAGCAAA
rnacentral:rRNA from 1 species